AUCGAACGCUGGCGGCAUGCCUUACACAUGCAAGUCGAACGGCAGCACGGGGCAACCUGGUGGCGAGUGGCGAACGGGUGAGUAAUGCAUCGGAACGUACCUUUCAGUGGGGGAUAACGUAGCGAAAGUUACGCUAAUACCGCAUAUUCUGUGAGCAGGAAAGCAGGGGAUCGCAAGACCUUGCGCUGAUUGAGCGGCCGAUGUCAGAUUAGCUAGUUGGUGAGGUAAAGGCUCACCAAGGCGACGAUCUGUAGCGGGUCUGAGAGGAUGAUCCGCCACACUGGAACUGAGACACGGUCCAGACUCCUACGGGAGGCAGCAGUGGGGAAUUUUGGACAAUGGGGGCAACCCUGAUCCAGCCAUGCCGCGUGAGUGAAGAAGGCCUUCGGGUUGUAAAGCUCUUUCGGCCGGGAAAAAAUCGCAUGGGUUAAUACCCUGUGUGGAUGAUGGUACCGGAAUAAGAAGCACCGGCUAACUACGUGCCAGCAGCCGCAGUAACAC
rnacentral:rRNA from 1 species